AGGAGUUCUAUUCAGGACACCUUUUUAGAAAUUAAAAUUCCCAAAGUUCACAGGCUAGGAGUUACAGGCGCCCACCCGUUAGUACGGCCUUGGGCUUCAAGAGCAAAGCGCGGAAGGAGAGUGGAAAGGAAAGUGCCUACAACUCCCAGAGCGCCACGCGGGAGGCGACCCGGCGCUGCCCGCUGCAGUCGCCGAGCGGCGCCGCGCUUUCUGUGAGGCCCGCCUGUCGCUUGCCGGUCCUACCCGCGCUCGCCGCCCUCGCGCCCGCCCCGCAGCCGGCGCGUCCAGCCGGCGCCUCGGUCUCGCCCUCCGCGAAGGCGGCCCGAUCUGCCCUUCACAGCCGCCUCUGUCCACUAAGGUCACCGAGGGGCCCGAGGCGCCACCGGCCCUUCUCGGAGGCCCUCGCUACUCCCGCUCCAUUCCCCCAAAUGCUCUGGACUCCCGGGAUGCUCUGGGGACAGGACAGACGCGGUCCCUGCUGCCACGAAAGUCCCUGCUUGCAGACUGUUGGAAUUGAGAAUCUCAAAGCAGAGAAGAGGAAGAACUACAACACGCGAUCAUUGCUAUGAAAGAAACAUGGUCCCGUGGAGAGAAAAGCCGAUUUUAGGUGGGCCAACUUAGGCCCUUUGGUCUCCACCACGCCUCCCACCCGUGUCUUGGUGCGGGGACGUGAGCAUAAUCGCAUAUUUCCGUGUCUUUGAAGGUAUAUGGGGGGCAACACCCCCGCCGCCCCCGACGGGAUCCCUGCACAGGACCUGGCAUUUCCCUGCCUGGACGCUGCUGUAAAGUCAGGAGAGACUAAAUGGAAACCACGGAUUCCUAGAUGCGGCUCCCGUGAACCUUUGGGCUAUUUGGGGGGAACCUUUGCAGUGUUUGAACUUAUAGUCCCUCUCCUGCUUUCCACAGACAACGCUGCCAGACACAUUAGGGGGCUCCAUAAAUAUUUGAGCACCUCUUAAUAUGUCAAAAUGUCCAGAUUCAGAGACAGGAAGAAGCACAGCGCUCCCAGCAUCCAACUCUGGCGGAGCUCAGCAAGCCUGGGCAGGGGGUUGGCAGGUGUAGAAGGCACUUUUACCACUGAGGAUUCAUCAGUAUUUCCUUCCAGCUCACAUUCUGCGGUAGAUUUAAAUGCUUGAAAUCUUCUCACAGUCCCUCAUCACCUAUACGAUGAAAUUCAAGCUCCUUAGCACAAUCUGGAAGCCCCUUCGUGGUUUGGAGGUUGUCUAACUGACCAGGUUCAACUGCCUCUCCUUGCUUGGAACUUGCCAGGCUCGCGAAUUCAGAACAUUUGUAGGUCCCUAGUUGUUUCAUGUUUUCCCUAAAAGUCUUUGUCUCCCAGCCAACAAUCCUUUGUCCGUCCCCCCCCCGCGCCCCCCCCCCCCAACUAUCCUUUAGACUUGAGUCUGGUCCCUCAAACUUUUUUGUCUUCUCGAGGGUUUCUGGGGAUUCUAGAACAGCUGGGUUUGAAGCAUGGCUCCACAUUCUGGAUCUGGGGCUGCUUCUAGAACCUGCUUCUCACAGCUUCCUUGUUGGCCAAGCAGCGGUGAUAUUAGUACCUCUCCUCACACAACUGCUAUGGACAUGAUAUAGGAUGAUACGGGCAUGGAACUUAUCCAGAUAAAUGUUAGAUAAGGUAACAAGAACAGCUGAUGGCUAUGGGUGCCAAGCCCUGUUCAAAGUGUUAUGUGUUCCAAGUGUCAUAUGUUAAGUGAUUUAACUCUUCUCAUCUUCACAACAGCCUUGUGAAAGUGUUAUCAGCAUUCUCAUUGUGCAAAUGAGGGAACCGCCCAAGUGACUUGCCAAGGUCACCCUGCCGGGUCAAGAAUGGUGCCAGGAAUUGAACCCAAGCUGUCCGAUUGCAGAGAUCACACCAUGCUCUGGUGCCUCUCAGGAAAAGCUCUGGAAACGCCACCUUCGUCAACGAGGACAGGUCCCAGGCCAGAGUCUAAAGCACAGAGGAAAUGUUAAGUGCUCCAAUAGCUGUGGACCUAGCAUGAUCUUCCCAUCUCCCUGGCUCUUGCGCUUAACUUCUAGCAGGCCAUCUGCUUCCAGUCUGCUGACUUGAGCUGAGAUCCUGCCCUCACCCCCAGAAUGUUGCCUCUUGAUCACUGAUAGUGCACAGACAUCUUCGGGAAGGUUCAUAGGGAGGCUGGUUCACUCAGCUCGUAGUAACUGAGCACCCAGUUACUGAGGGUACAUCCUGAAUGGUGGGAAUUGAAAUUCCUGUGGCCUCCCGCGCAGUGGAGCCUCCUGAAGAGACCCCUGAACUGCUAGCAGACAACCAGCCGGUGGGAAAGGUGGGGCCUCGCUGGUGCUCAAAAAUAAUGGCACUUCUCCUGCACCCUUUUCACUCAUUCAUUCUUAGAGCCAACAAGUGUUGAGUGCACAUUCAGUGCCAGGUACUCUCAGGCACCAGACACAGCAUUUAGUAAGGACCUGAAUGAAGAGAAACAGUGUGCACAUGUAGACCUAGCGACAGAAUGUUCUGCACAAGAGAAGAGGCGUGAAGGCUCUGGCGUGUGAGCAAGCUUGAUGUGUUCCAGAAAUGAGAUGAGGAUACCUGGAGCAUGAACCGUGAUUCCUGCUCGCUGGAGCAGGAAUUGAGAGCCACACCCUCAGGGGUGCUACUGUCACACAGCUGCUGUCACCACCACGGCCUGAGGGGCCACCAGAAUCCUGGGCUGGGAUGGCUCCUCCCUCCCUCCUGUCUUCUGAAGCCCUGCUGGUGCCUCCUGGAGGCAGGGUCACCUGACCAGGGCAUCUGGGAAAUGAGGUUUGCAGGCUCCCGGUCCUGGCUGUGAAGAAGAGCCUAAAAAGGCAAGCGCAGGACGGGAACCACCGACGCCAUUCCCACACCAGCCACUGCACACCUCUGUACGAGGAGGGAAACAAGGUGCGUGCCACGCACACAGCUCCGGGACUCGCGUUUCUCUCUCCACCGAAUCUUGGAGGUCGCUCUCAGCACACACCACUUUGUCUUACCAGAACCAUGAUUUUCCUAGCCAGCCUCCCGUAGUCUUUUACCGUUUCCGAGAGGGCUGCGGUGCGUACACUUGCACAACUUCCUAGUGCCCGUGCGCAUGUCUUCCCGUGGGAUCAUUUCCAAAAGGGAACUUGCUGGGUCAAAGGCUGUGGGCGCUUGUCACUGUGAUAAAUACGGCCCGACCGCCCUCCGCUCCCACCAGCGGGGGCUGUUUUCCCGAAGCGUCACCGGCACCCUCUUCACGCCGCCCCCAUGGAGGCCCCAGACGUGGAGGGACAGAGAUAAGCCCUCCCUGCUGUGCUCUGUCUGGAUUCCUGACCCACAGACUGCAUGAGCAGGAUCAAAUGGCUGCUGCUCUAUGCCUCCGUGAAGUGGCUGGUUACGCGGCAGUAGGCAGCUGGAACAGCCCCUUCCUAAACUCCUUUUGGCACAGCUCUCCACUUGGUGAGACAAAAGUGGGCCUACCUGUGCUCCCUGCUGCAAAAGCGCAGUCGUUAGCCCAACUGCAGCUGGCCAGUGUCCUUCCAGGAUGUUCCUGGGGAGCCUCCGUCAUCCCACCCGUCGGCAGGCCACCUCGGAUGCAGAAAAGGCCCCGGUGUGUGUGCAGAAACCACACUCUUCGGGAACCCCCAGCACAUGCCGUUCACGCCCGUUAAGAUAAAACAGUUGCCACAGUUACACACAGCGAGUCUGGGAAAGGCACAGAUCGCUCCUAAUUUAUCUUCUUGGUGGAGACUGAUAGCGGCCAGCAUGAGCGGCCUGAAAACACAGGCUCCUUGUUCAUAUGCCUGGAACUGCAAAUGGACUGGGCUGCCUGGAUUCCUCACAGAGAGGGUCCCAGAGACACUCCGUGAGAUGUCCAAGCCCGUGAAGUGGGAGACCUGGGUUUGCGUCCUGACUCCGGCACCUAGAGGGGACUUAACUGUUCGCUCAUUCGACAAACAUUCCUACGCUCCAAAGACUGUGCGGCAGCGGGGGGCAGGGAGGGGGCUGGCAAUGCCCAAGGUGGGUGCAGUCCUGCUCUUUGGGAGCUUUUAUUUCAGUGGCAAGAGUCGGUCAACAAGCAAGGACGCAAGGACGCAAACUCCAAGUAUGGUGCAGGAUCAGAAUAAGAUGGGGAAAUGAGGUGAAGCGUGCCCAGGGAGGCACCAUUAGACGGCGAGGUCAGGAAGGGCAGCAUCCACCUUUCCUCUUGCCUAGAACAUGGCUGUGAUGCCUGCAGGUAUGGGAGCCAUUUUGUGACCAGGAAGCAACAAUCAGGAGGGCAAAAGUCGGCAUAGAAAGGGGAUGU